GAUGAACGCUGGCGGCGUGCCUAAUACAUGCAAGUCGAGCGAACGGACGAGAAGCUUCCUUCUCUGAUGUUAGCGGCGGACGGGUGAGUAACACGUGGAUAACCUAUCUAUAAGACUGGGAUAAGUUCGGGAAACCGGAUCUAACACCGGAUAAUCUUUUGAACCGCAUGGUUCAAAAGUGAAAGACGGUCUUGCUGUCACUUAUAGAUGGAUCCGCGCUGCAUUAGCUAGUUGGUAAGGUAACGGCUUACCAAGGCAACGAUGCAUAGCCGACCUGAGAGGGUGAUCGGCCACACUGGAACUGAGACACGGUCCAGACUCCUACGGGAGGCGGCAGUAGGGAAUCUUACGCAAUGGGCGAAAGCCUGAUGGAGCAACGCCGCGUGAGUGAUGAAGGUCUUCGGAUCGUAAAACUCUGUUAUUAGGGAAGAACAUAUGUGUAAGUAACUGUGCAGAUCUUGACGGUACCUAAUCAGAAAGCCACGGCUAACUACGUG
rnacentral:rRNA from 1 species